AGAAAGUGUUGGAAUUCAAGGAUUUGAUCAAGCAAAGGUGGUGAGCAAAUUACAUUGGUAAAAGCACAGAGAUUGUACUUGAAGACUAGGACUAUGAGUAUUUUUACUCCUGAUACUGUUGGAUAGUAUUAUCUUAGUCAUGUCAUGCUGUCAAAAUUUUGUUGUAUGGUGGAUUUAACCUGCUGCAAGGGGUGGGUUUUCUGUGGAUCAGCCUAUUAGAGGGGCACGAAAUCCCGAUAUA